rnacentral:rRNA from 1 species
CACGUAGGGGGCGAGCGUUGUCCGGAUUUAUUGGGCGUAAAGAGCUCGUAGGCGGUUCGGUAAGUCGGGUGUGAAAACUCAAGGCUCAACCUUGAGACGCCACCCGAUACUGCUGUGACUAGAGUCCGGUAGGGGAGCGUGGAAUUCCUGGUGUAGCGGUGAAAUGCGCAGAUAUCAGGAGGAACACCAGCGGCGAAGGCGGCGCUCUGGGCCGGAACUGACGCUGAGGAGCGAAAGCGUGGGGAGCGAACAGG